CCCUUAGAUGUUCUGGGCCGCACGCGCGCUACACUGAUGCAUUCAACGAGUCUAAAACCUGCUCUGAUAGGGGUGGGUAAUCUUUUGAAUGUGCAUCGUGAUUGGGAUAGAUGAUUGCAAUUUUUCAUCUUCAACGAGGAAUGCCUAGUAAACGCAAGUCAUCAGCUUGCAUUGAUUACGUCCCUGCCCUUUGUACACACCGCCCGUCGCUACUACCGAUUGAAUGAUCCGAUGAAUAUCAUGGAUUGAGGAUGCAAGUAGGUUCGCCUAUCUUCAUCUUCGAGAAGUGAAGUAAAUCUUAUCAUUUAGAGGAAGGAGAAGUCGUAACA
rnacentral:rRNA from 1 species